CCGCGCCCUCUAACAAAAAAACAAAUCCUGCUAGUCCAAAUGUUCUGACAACUUAACCAGGACAUACUGCAAGGACAUACAUUCUGGAGAGGGAGUUUCUGGAUUUGAAGAAUUCUAAAACCAAGAAAAGCCUCACUGACUACGUUCAACAUGUCCUCUGUCAAGAUACAGUGAUCUGAUUGCCAGAAGAGGAAACUGGUAUAGAUCCUGAGGGCAAGCAAUGUUUUUAUUAUUAACCGCUUUGGGAUUUAUCUUGGUUAUCUCAUGAGCUGAAAAAAAAGAAGUCCCUAUUCUUACAACAAGAAAAGCCUUGUUCAGGCUGUAAAGUAAUGGCUUUUCUAACCCAGAUGAAAACAGGUCAAAGGAUAAACGACCAUCCAAAAUUCUGAGGAGACAUAGGCACAUCCAGGGAGACAGAGGAGUCAAACAGUUGCUAACCUUGGACAGAGGCUGCUAGAUACCAAGAAAGCCCGCCAGAAUAUCGAAGAAACACUGAUAAUUCCUUGGAAGUUGAACAUUAGUAUGGGGCUACGGUAAUGGGCUUUCCACCCAUUUGAAUGCUUUUUUCUCUAGAAACACCAUGAGGCUUUUACAGGGGGGAUCUGAGAGAAUCCAGAGAAUGUUUCCCUUGUCUUACUAGUUGGGGAGGGAAAGACCAGACACCGUAAAGUCCAUCCAGAUCCCACUGCCAUGUGAAACAAAGGCUUAAUCAGCAGUGGGAAGGGCCAGAAGAAUGCAGACUAACAGUACUAGAGGAUAUUUUUUGCAGCUAGUAAAAGGAAGAUGGAGCAGGAGACACUGUGACAGGUAGCUUAAUGUUACUCCAUACAUUUCAUAUAAACUCACUUUCACUUAUUUAUGUCACGAGUGC
rnacentral:lncRNA from 1 species